rnacentral:rRNA from 1 species
GAUGAACGCUGGCGGCGUGCCUAAUACAUGCCAGUCGAGCGAACGGACGAGAAGCUUGCUUCUCUGAUGUUAGCGGCGGACGGGUGAGUAACACGUGGAUAACCUACCUAUAAGACUGGGAUAACUUCGGGAAACCGUAGCUAAUACCGGAUAAUAUUUUGAACCGCAUGGUUCAAAAGUGAAAGACGGUCUUGCUGUCACUUAUAGAUGGAUCCGCGCUGCAUUAGCUAGUUGGUAAGGUAACGGCUUGCCAAGGCAACGAUGCAUAGCCGACCUGAGAGGGUGAUCGGCCACACUGGAACUGAGACACGGUCCAGACUCCUACGGGAGGCAGCAGUAGGGAAUCUUCCGCAAUGGGCGAAAGCCUGACGGAGCAACGCCACGUGAGUGAUGAAGGUCUUCGGAUCGUAAAACUCUGUUAUUAGGGAAGAACAUAUGUGUAAGUAACUGUGCACAUCUUGACGGUACCUAAUCAGAAAGCCACGGCUAACUACGUG